CACACGACUCUCGGCAACGGAUAUCUCGGCUCUCGCAUCGAUGAAGAACGUAGCGAAAUGCGAUACCUGGUGUGAAUUGCAGAAUCCCGCGAACCAUCGAGUCUUUGAACGCAAGUUGCACCCGAGGCCACUCGGCCGAGGGCACGCCUGCCUGGGCGUCACGC
rnacentral:rRNA from 1 species